rnacentral:tRNA from 1 species
CCCAGUGCUGGAAUUGGCAGACACGCUGCACUCAAAAUGCAGUGCCGUCAGGCUUGCCGGUUCGAGUCCGGCCAUCGGUA